rnacentral:misc_RNA from 1 species
GAUGAAGAAUGUAGCGAACUGCGAUAAGUAAUGCGAAUUGCAGAAUUCAGUGAAUCAUCGAGUCUUUGAACGCACAUUGCGCCCCCUGGCAUUCCGGGGGGCAUGCCUGUCCGAGCGUCAUUACUGCCCAUCAAGCGCGGCUUGUGUGUUGGGUCCUCGUCCCUCCCGGGGGACGGGCCCGAAAGGCAGCGACGGUACCGUCCGGUCCUCGAGCGUAUGGGGCUUUGUCACCCGCUCGAUUAGGGCCCGGUCGGCGCCAGCCGUCAACCCCCAAUUUUUUUUUAUUCAGGUUGACCUCGGAUCAGGUAGGGAUACCCGCUGAACUUAAGCAUAUCAAUAAGCGGAGGA